CCUACGGGAGGCAGCAGUGGGGAAUAUUGCGCAAUGGGGGAAACCCUGACGCAGCGACGCCGCGUGGAUGAUGAAGCCCUUCGGGUUGUAAAGUCCUGUUCUGGGGGACGAAACCUUAAGGGUCCAAUAGGCCCAUUAAGCUGACGGUACCCCAAGAGAAAGCUCCGG
rnacentral:rRNA from 1 species